rnacentral:lncRNA from 1 species
ACAAAUGACCAAAAAAUCUCAAAGACCUCCACAACCUUAAGAAAGAUAAAACAGAAUCAAGAAAUAAGUGGUGAAUCUAUUCUGCAUACAAUACAGGUUGUUUCAUUUCAUUUCAUUUUAUUUCAUUUCUUCAUUUUACUAUCCAGAAAUUAAUAACAACUUUAAAACAAAUAUUUACCAAGCACAUCAUUAAAAAAUCAAAUGCAGAGAUACAUAUGCUUAAAAAAUAUCAAUUAUGCCCCAUUCUUCCCACUCCUACUUCUCCUUCCCAAAGAUACAUUUUAAAGACAUUCACUUGUUUUUCCAGGUGAUUUCAACCCUAUUACUAAAUGACACAUUUUUAUCACUGUCCUUCUUAGAUCAGAUUGAGACAUUUUAGCUCCCUUAACACCACAAACUCCCUCUUUCUUCUCUUCCUAAUAUGAUUCCAUCAUCACAUUUGAUGCUAUAUUGGUUAGCACUGUCCCUUUAUUACUUGAUACCUCAGAGUCCUGCCUCACUUGGUAAGAUAGAGAAAUAACAAAGAGAAUAGAACCUUCCUUUUAGUCUCUUCUCCCCUUAAUCUUUCGACCUCUUCAAUCUGCAUUUUUCCUUUUACACCAUAGUGAUUGAUGACAUUUAACUUUGUUUUACAUCUUCCGUGUUUGCUUAUAGGUUUGUGAUACAAUUUGAAACUCAAUAGUCAGCACUUACGUUAUUAGAGGAAACAGAAUUUUCUCCUUGAAGAGUAUUGCCUUCACCAUAGCCUCAUUUCCUCUCUGCCUAAAUCUCUUCAUCAGGUCAAUUCUGUAAAGUUCUGAUUCCUAGAGACCUCUCCUCUGUCAUCUCAACCCAGUAUGGAUGUGGCGCCCUGACUUGCUGCGCUUGUUUCUUAGGUCACGUGUCCUUUCCUUUCCCAUGAUAUAACUCCACUUAUGUUUUCCAAUCUAUAAUAACUAAGAAGAAAUAAUAGAUUAAAUUAUUAGUUCUUACAUGUCUGUAAAUACGCCUUACCUCAAGCUUGCAUGAUGCUGUGGAAGGUUGUAGAAAUCUAGGUUGAGAAUCACUUUCCUAUGGAACAGUGGUCAGUGAACUUCUGUAAAGGGCUGGACAGUAAGUACUUUAGGUUUCAUGGGCCAUAUGGUUUCUGUUGCAACUACUCAACUCUGCCUUUGUAGCAUAAAAGUAGCUAUAGACAAAAGGUGAAUGAAUGAGCCUGGUUGUGUUUUAUUAAAACUUCUUUUGCGAAAGAGGCAGCCGGCUGGAUCUGGCCCACAGAAUGUAGUUUGCCAAUCCCUUCUUUAGAAUUUGAAGCCACAUUUUCUUGUAUUCUUGCAUCUAGUGUUGUGAAUGAAGUCUGAUGCUGGACUAAAUCUUGUUUCUUUGUAUAUCGCUUCCUUUUCUAUUUUAAUUUUUCCCUGAGACCAUUUAGAAUAUUCUCUUUAAUCCUUCCAUCCUAAAUUUUCACAAUAAUAUGUACAGGUGUGGGUCUUCUCAACUCUUGGGCAUACGGAGGGAUAUUUUAGAUUGAAAACCUGACUUCCAUUUUCAACCCAGGGAAAUUCUCCUCGUUCACUUUAUACUCAUCUCUGUUUUGUUGCUUCUGAUCUUUUUUUUCUGGAACCUGCAUUGGUCUGAUGAUGGGCCACUUGGAUAAUUGCUCUUUGUGUCAAGUCUUUUUCUCUUUUUUUGAAGAGGAGUUCCUUGUCUUAUUUUUGGAGAGGUUUCCUCAACUAUAUCUGUCCAAACUUUUAUUGAAUUUUUUGGCAAUAACAUUUAAAAAUACCUUUUUCUUGCUGUCUAAUCUUCCCUCUCCUCCACCUCCCUUUCCCCUGCAGAAUAGAUUUACCAGAAAGCUAAUGACCCCACAUUUGAGUUCCAAAAGUUGCUGUAGACUGUUCUAAGUGGGCAUGUAAAACUAGGUUUACAAUCAGGAAGCAGUUCUGUGAAAGCUGUUCUGGCUAAAUCUUAAAAGACAGGGAUUGGAAUCUCUAAGAUUAUAUAAUUUAAACCGUGAUGUAUUUUUCAUAUAUAAAUAUUCAUUUUUGCACCAUCUUAUAUGUCUAAAUUAGUAUUUUAAAAAAGACCCCCAGUAUAUACACACUACUAUAUAAAGUAAAUGAUUAACAAGAACCUACUGUAUAGCACAGGAAGAUAGAACUCAAUAGUUUGUAAUAACCUAUAUGGGAAAAAAGAAUGAAUACUUUUAUAUGUAAGACUAAUUCAUUUUGCUAUACACCUGAAACAAAUAUAACAUUGUAUGUUAACAAUAAUCUAACUACAUUUAAAACAAAUUAAAAAAUUAAAAAGUAUUGCUUAAGCUUUAAGUUACACAAAACCUAGGUUUUUAUCAUACUUUAAUUUUUUUGAGGGUACUCAUUAACAUUUUUCUUAGUUAUUUUCUGCUUUUUGGGACUUUAUCUGUUUCCUUGAAGUUAUCUUAUAGUUAGUAUAUUAUUUUUUUCCCACACAUGUCUGGUGAUCCUUGGUUUUCUAUUCAUAUUUCAAGAUGAGAAAAUAGAAAAGCUGACUGUGAGGUCUAUGAGCAGGGGUGGGGCCUGUCUGCUGGCAAGUUUUCUUCUAGGGAAACUGGAGGUGGGGGCAUGGUCUCUGGGGUGCUGAGACUCAGCCACUUCUGUUCUGCUCUGAGACUUCACCCCAUGUUUAAAGAGAAUUCCCCAUUUUUAUUUUUUUCAUUCCUUAGGGAGAAAUACCUGGCUGUCAGGAGAUGAUUGAUCAUUUCUCUGAUCCUCUCGUUUUUAGGGCCUGCCCCUCCCUUCCAGCAGUUGACACACCAGUUAUAGAGUUUCUGAGUCUUACCAACAAGACAAGACACCUCCCACUGGUCAGCCUCUGGGUAUGUUUUAGGCGACACCUUCCUCUGUUCCACAUCAUCAAGAGCUUAUUCCUUCGCAUGCUUUGUGGCUUCCAGAUGUUUAUCAAAUCCCUUAUUGACUGAGAGUCAUCCUCCUGUUCUCUCAGCUGUGUGUUUACUGUGCUGCAACAGCGCCUUGGCAGAUAUUAUGUGUACUCAAUGGCGCCUUGAACUUAGAGCCUUAUGGAGCUUUAAUCUCCCCACCUACCAACUCAUAGCUUAAAAGAUGGCUCAGGUUUGGCUGCCUAGGCUGUUAGGUUUUUUGUCAAGAUUUCUUUGGGGGAAAAACUCACUUUUUAGUGAAAUCUUCAUUUAUUUAUACCUCAUUUUGAAAGACAUUCAGCCUCCGUUUUUAUCUCCUUUAUAUUUUCAAGAAGUCCUCACUCUACCUAUCCAAGCCUUCCUGGAUUUCCUGCAUCACCCUAUUUAUUCAUAUUUUUAUUUUGUUUUAUUUUAGAGAGCUCUGUGGUGAGGAGAAAAGGAAGUGUGGAUGCUUGGUCAAUCAUCUUCAACUGGAAGCCAGAACGUUCACAUUUUUAAAUGAUAUAAUUCAAUGGCCUUUCCUCUUUUCAUAAAAGCCUUACGGACUAUAAAUCAGAAAGCUCUCAGAAAAAGCAGUCUAAAAACAUAAUUAUGCACUCACAUUUAGAGGAGUUUCUAAUUAACUUCUCUUUUAAAAAUAUUUGAUCCUGAAGGCACAAUCUAAAACUUCCUAUCAUUCUGUUUUUGACUUAUUUUCUUCUCAAGAGAUACAUAUUCUUAUCUGUCUCUUCCUCUUUUUGUUGGGUAUUUAACUCCUUCAUACUGUCUGAUUUAAAAGCUUCCCAUCUUUCUUUGAAAUUUUAGGGUAUUUAAAAGUCUUUUCCUACAUGACUCUUGUACCACAGACCAUUAAUAUUUUAGGUGAAUCAGAAUCCACUGAAGAUCACAAGAAAUAUUCUGUAUAUUAUGUCAUUUAAACUGAAAGGGAAUUACAGUGCUUUUCUGAGUACUUUCAGAUCUUUAUACAUCCAUGAAUUAACUCAAUAAUAGAUUUUUUAAAAAAAUCUUUUUAGGGCCACACCUAAAAUGGCACAUGGAGGUUCCCAGGCUAGGGGCUGAAUUGGAGCUAUACCUGCUGGCCUACAGAACGGCCAUAGCAAUGCGGGAUCUGAGCAUGUCUGUGACCUACACCACAGCUCAUGGCUGGAUCCUUAACCCACUGAGUGAGGCCAGGGAUCAAACCUGUGUCCUCAUGGAUACUAGUCGGGUUCAUUAACCACUGAGCCAAAACGGAAAUUCCUAGAUUUUCUUUUUUUGAAUGCCUAAACUGUGCCAGACAUAUUUUAGGCUGUAAAACUAAGUGACCAGAGACUAAGAAAAAUCUCUGACCUCAUGCUGUCUUCUUGGGGGAGACAAUCAACGAGAUAAAUAGGUAAAAAUAUAUUUGUAUGAGGGUUCUGCAGAGAAACAGAACUGAUGGGUGUAUCCAUGUAAAGAGAUUUAUUAUAAAGAGUUGGCUCAUGCAGUUAUGGAUGCUAGCCAGACCUGAGAUCUUCAGUGAGUAGGCAAGCUGGAGAGCCAGGAGAGCCGAUGGUUUAGUUCCAGUCUGGGUCCUAAAGCCUGAGAACCAGGAAAGAUAAAGACAUAGUCCCAUUCCAAAAGCUGGCAGGUUUGAGACCCAGAGAGAGUCUUUGCUUCAUUUUGAAUUUGAAGGCAAGAAAAAGCCAAUGUCUCUGCUCGAAGACAGUCAAGUAGUCAAGCAGGAGUUUGCUCCUCUGCAGAAGGAUCAGCCUUUUGUUCUAUUCUGGCCUUCCAUUAAUAGGACAAGCUCUGCCCAUCUUAGGGAGGACGAUAUGCAUUCCUUAGUCUACCUAUUAAAAUGGUAAUCUUGGGAGUUCCCUUGGUGCAGAGGGUUGAAGAUCCAGCCUUGUCACUGCUGUGGCUCAGAUUGUAGCUGUGGCACAGGUUGGAUCUGCAUGCAUGGACAUGGCCCAAAAAGAUGGUAACCUGGAAAAUAACAACAAAUUAGAGAUAAAACUGAUCCUGAGGCUUAGAACAUAUUCUACUCAUGCAGUUGUAAUGUAUGCUCGCGGAACUGACUAUAGCAUCAGGAGAUUCAUAAUGAAAGACUACAACUCAAAUUUGACUGUGGAAGUGGUCCUGAAAUUGUGUUCAUUUAAAGCAUUCAAGUCAAUGAUAG